GAAGCCCCAAGCUUGCCCAACUGGGCAGAGGGAUCCUCCUCCUGGCAUCACAGAUUUCAGGCUUGUGUCUCCCCUGAGGUGCUGUGGAAGCUUUGCCAGCUACAAUGAGCAGUCGGGGUCCCUCUCAGCAAAUUGGCUUUUCAUCGGAUCCCAGCUCUGCUCACACGCUCCUCACCUCUGAAUUCCAAGUGCUGAGUUUGGGGUACAGCAAAGAGCAGAGACUUCUCUUCAUUGACACAGGCUCCCCAUUGGAGACAUUCAGAUGCCACCUGCAACAUCAAGAGAGAUGUACACCACUGAGCAGCAUGUCCCACUACUGGCUGCCACCCUAUGGAGGGGACCUCAAUAAAGAUUGCCCUGGAAGCCCCUCUGAAGGUUUCACAAUGGCUCCCAUAAAGGAUUUAAUGCACACUAAACUCAGCAAGCUCUACAGGGCUGCUGUGGAGAAGGAAGCUACUGCCUUGCCCUACAGGUGUUCAUAAAACAUGGACUAACUUCAGAAAGAGAAGGGAAGCUCACAGGUUGACAGACCACUGCUCCAAGCAGCCACUGAAAGGCAGGCUUUCUUUUGGGCUCAUUAACUCCCAUGCCAGCACUAAUGGUCCUGUGCCUGCUCCUUCCCCUUCCUCCAUACCACGCCGAGGGCUUGAUUUAGCAGCUGAGGCUGGAGCCCAGCUCCACCAGCAACGUUUGCCUGGAUGUAAUUAGGCAUCAGCAGAGCAAAACUCCCCCAGCCAAGGAAGAGUGGCAGUCCAGGUCAGGCAGUUCUCUGCCCACAGCCACCUCCACCCAGCUUGAACAGAAAUAAAUGGGGGGGAGCUGGA